CAACUACUCCCUCCGUCCCAAAAUUCUUGUCUUAGAUUUGUCUAGAUAUGAUACGGAUGUAUCUAGUACUAAAAUGUGACUUGAUACAUCCGUAUCUAGAAAAAUCUGAGACAAGACAAGAAUUUUGGGACGGAGGGAGUACUUU
rfam:Triticum aestivum genome assembly, contig: Triticum_aestivum_CS42_TGACv1_scaffold_320299_4BL